AACCUCCGCAAUGUGAGAAAUCGCGACGGGGGGAUCCCAAGUGCCAUUCUUAACGGGAUGGCUUUUCAUUAGUGUAAAGAGCUUUUGGAAUAAGAGCUGGGCAAGACCGGUGCCAGCCGCCGCGGUAACACCGGCAGCUCUAGUGGUAACAAUUUUUAUUGGGCCUAAAGCGUCCGCAGCCGGUUUAAUAAGUCUCUGGUGAAAUCCUGUAGCUUAACUGUGGGAAUUGCUGGAGAUACUAUUAGACUUGAGACCGGGAGAGGUUAGAGGUACUCCCAGGGUAGAGGUGAAAUUCUGUAAUCCUGGGAGGACCGCCUGUUGCGAAGGCGUCUAACUGGAACGGUUCUGACGGUGAGGGACGAAAGUUAGGGGCGCGAACCGGAUUAGAUACCCGGGUAGUCCUAACUGUAAACGAUGCGGACUUGGUGUUGGGUGGCUUUGAGCUGCUCCAGUGCCGAAGGGAAGCUGUUAAGUCCGCCGCCUGGAAGGUACGGUCGCAAGACUGAAACUUAAAGGAAUU
rnacentral:rRNA from 1 species